GGGGUUGUGGCUCAGCGGUAGAGUGCUCGCCUAGCAUGUGAGAGGCCCUGGGUUUGAUUCUCAGCACCA
rnacentral:tRNA from 1 species